ACCUUUAAAAUAUUAUGAUGAAAAUGAUGUUAGCUAAAAAAGUAGAAAUUAGAUGACACUGAAACAUAUAUUCAAUUUUAAUUUUUGUUUUUACUUCAAAUUUCUCAAGGUGUAAGACCAUCUGAUCAUUGAAUCUCAUUUUACAUCAAAAUAUUGAUGAUUCUGACACUCUUUGGACAUUCAUAAAAACUCUUUAAUAAAUCUUAGUUAUGGCAGCAAAUAUGUUUCAAAGAGAAUCGAAAGUGUGACAAUCUUUACAACAAUCCACUAUAUCAAAUCCAUACCAUCCAACAGCUCUGUGAAUGUGUAAUAUCUAGACGGAAUCACACACUAUCUUUAAAUAGUCAUUCAGCUAGAAAGAAAUAGCAGCCAAAUCUUCCUUAUCUCAAAUCCCAUAGCCUUAAACAAGAAACAACACAGUGGAUGAUGUAUUUCUAGAUACUCCUAAAAAUCUCAUGGCUGGAUAAUUUUUUCAUCAUAGGUUUGUUUUAGAUCAAGACUGAAUUUGAGCUAAAAUAUAAUUAAAAAAAAAAAAACAACCAACAGAUGAAACUCCAGCAAAAAAAUGACCAUAAAAAGAACUGGGCUAGUUCCUCUUUCACACUAAGAUCAAAAGGAAUUUUAGCUUAAAUUUGCUAAAUGGUCUGACAUCAUUCUUACAAUCCAGACAGUUUUUGUAUAUAUAUAUAGAAUUAAUUAGAAACAAAGCUCCCAUAUUUACCAUCUGUUUUAUUUCAAAUUCCCUGUUUACUUGAGGAUGUAUGAAUAUCCCUUCUGGAUUCUUUCUCUCAUACUCUUUACAUUUAUCCAACUUCUUUGGUCACUAAUAUUCAAAGUUUUGCAACAGAUGGGCUCCUAUCCUAGCCGAACUCUUUUUAAAACCAGUUUAACCUUUAUCCCUCUUAAGUUUUGUGGAAACGUGCAACAGUACUCUUAACAAAAAAAAAAAAAAGAAAGUUGUCUAACUUAUCACAUUGAAAAUUGCUUCUUUUACUAUCUUUAUUCAGAAUUUUUGAAAAGCUGAGCCAGAUUCAACAAAAAACCAAUUCGUUGUCAUGCACCGUGAUUUUUCAUCCUCCAGAAUUUCAGUGAAAGUUGUUUUUCUUGGCUCAUGCCAUAUGUCUAAUAUGAAGCCUCUCUACUAAUGAUUUCCAUUCAUCAUGACAUCACCUCUAUGUGGUAGCUCAUCCUGCUAGAAAUAGUAACCAAAUAUCCCACAAAAUAACACUACAGCAUAAAAAAAGGGAUGACAUUGGAUAAUAUCAUUCUAGAUACUCUUGAAAAGAGUUGGUAAUAUUGCAAUUCCUUUAAUCAUAUGUCUGAUUAAUUGUAGUUGACCUGGGGCUAAAAAAACAAAUGAUUGGUUUCUCCAUUAUAUCAUACUAGCAGAGAUACCCGGCAUUGCUUGUGAUUAAAAUGGCAUAAAUUUUUAUUCAUUUACUUGUUUCAGUCAUGCUGGAGCACUGCCUUUAGUCAAACAGAAAGAAAGAGAGGGAGGGAAGGAAGGACAAAAAGAGAAACUAUUACAGAGGAUGAGAGAGAAUAUGUGUAAGCAAGAGAAACAGAAUAAGAGAAGGGAGAGAAUCGAUGGAAAACUGCAGUUUUUAGAGAAAAACCGGUGUAAAACACCUUUUUUCCUUGUUUCUCGUUUUACACAGGAGCUCUGGGCCAGAAAUUACAAUGCAUGACCAUCCCUGGCACAUAAGUAAUGUUUGAAAAUCGGUUGAAAACUAGAGAUAUCACACACACACACAUCCUUUAUUUUAUAUCUAUAGAUUGACAGGGCUUGUCUCAUUGCCUGAUCAACUCAUGUAACUUAAGGCUCUGGUUCUUCAUCCCACCCUUUUGUAUUCUUAUUAACAACAAACCUAUUGUUGCAGCCUACACACACACAUAGAUGCCUUACCAUCUCAAAACACUCCUUCACUAUCUGCAUACAGGUGUUCCAUUUUCAAUACCUUUGACUUGUACACCAUCUUUGAUAACCUAAUUCCAUACAAGCCAGUGAGGGAAACUCAACACUGUCAGUUGGCCAGUAAGAAAUAAUAGUCAAAUCUUCCUUAACUUAAAAAGCUGAGAUCUUAUUAGAUUUUAUUAAAAGAUUGAAACAUAAUUGUUUUUAUAAGUUGACUUUGUAAACAAGGUUUACUCCUAACUACCCUGUCUUUAGAAAAUAAUACAUUUCUAAAUCUCUGAGAGAGACUUAAGCAGUAGUGAUGCGAUAAAGUAGUUGUAUACUGCCAACUUAAUGUGACAGUCCCAAUAAGGGAAUAUACUACUGCUAUUUAGCCCUAGGAAGCUGGACCGCUUCCUGUCGACCUUGACACAUUUCCUGUGUCCUUAUGUUUGCGAGGGGGAGAUUGUUUUCCAUAAAUUUUGCUUAGUCAAUAGCACCAUCUCUACCUCUCUUGACAUUUUUAUAUUUUAAGCAUCCUUAGAGGGACUUUUUUUGUCUAUUAACUGCAUAGAUAAUGUCAGUUCAUCAAAGUUUGCCAAUUCAUUAUAUAUGAGAACAGUGUGUGUUUAGUAUGCAGAAUAUGCCCUUCAGGUAAAAGAGUAAGGGCAAAGACCCCCUUUGGUCAUAACUGACCAUGGGAUUGCACCUAGACAGUUUCCCUCCAAGGCACAAGUCUGGACAAGGUUGUUAGUGGAAGACCAGCAGAGCAGUUGCCCAUGCAUACCAGUCUCCCCUCUCCAUACCACUGAUGUUAUCCAAGGGAAAGGCAAAUGCUAAUACAGUUUGGCGCCACUGACAUUGCAACUCAUUUCUACAGCUGAGUCAACUGGAGCAACAUGAAAUAAAGUGUCUUGCUCAAGAACAGAACACAGCCUUGUUCAGCAAUCAAACUCCCGAUUGUAAGCCCAAUGCUCGAACCAUCGAGCCAUGCACUUUCCAUUGAGGUGUCACCUUUUUAUCAGCAUCAACCUUAUCUCCUAUGCUUGAAGGGCCUGGAAAGGCUACAAGCGGGCACUACUCUGCUUCGUCAAACUAAUCAAUAAAAACAAUCGAAAACAAAAUUUGCCUGUCUUCUCUGAAUCAAAUCAAUAAAAACAAUCGAAAACAAAAUUUGCCUGUCUUCUCUGAAUCAAAUCAAUUUUAAGUUUUGAAACUCACCUAUUCAUGGGAAUACGUGCCAGGAUGGAUUCAUCUGAUUUAAGCUAGAAAUGCAAAAGAAUACAAAGCCAAUUACUCUUCAGUUAACAGCCAAAUGAACACUUUAUUUUUUUUUUAAAUCUUAAUUUUAACAUUAAAAAAAAAAUGUGUUGUUGCAGAUUAGACUGUGAUGAGCUCUGCUAGUGAUGUACUGUAAGCAAGGCUGAUGUCAGAAUAUUCAAUGCCCAAGGCCAGUUCUGCAGCCCAGCAUUGUGUGACUCCUUUUCCCAACACUUUAACAUUCAGAUUACUCUGUCAGUCAUUGGACUGCGUUCAUGCUGGUUCACCACCUUGAAGGGUUUACUUGAUAAAAAGCUUGGUACAUAUUCUGUUAGGAUUUUUUUUUUUUUUUGCCAAACUGUUAAGUUACAGAGGCAUAAACAAAUAAACACCAAUCAAGAGUGCCAACACAAAGACGUACUCGUACACACACAUGUAUGUGUACGCAUAUAUAUAUCGAGUUUGUAUGAUUAUGUAUAGAAGAAUAUAUUAUCUACAGUCGUCAAUUUUUGAACACGACUCAUUACAUAAACCUGUUGAUUGCAUAAUGCAUGAAAGUACUAGUUUAUUGUAAAAUUGUAAAAAUUGUAAAUAAUAAAAGGUGAAAAUCA